rnacentral:rRNA from 1 species
UACGUAGGGGGCAAGCGUUGUCCGGAUUUACUGGGCGUAAAGAGCGCGCAGGCGGUCGUUCAAGUCGAGUGUGAAAGCCCCCGGCUCAACUGGGGAGGGUCAUUCGAUACUGAUCGACUGGAAGGCAGGAGAGGGAAGCGGAAUUCCCGGUGUAGUGGUGAAAUGCGUAGAUAUCGGGAGGAACACCUGCGGCGAAGGCGGGUUGCUGGGCUGACACUGACGCUGAGGCGCGAAAGCUAGGGGAGCGAACGGG